AAUGAACGCUGGCGGCGUGCCUAAUACAUGCAAGUCGAGCGAACAGACAAUAAGCUUUCGCCUCUGACGGUAGCGGGUGACGGGUGGGUAAGGCGUAGAUAACAUACCUAUAAUACUGGGAGAACUUCGGGAAACAACAUAUAAUACUACAGAAUACAUUCAACGGCAUGAAUCAAUAGUUAAACGCACUUUUCCUGACACAUAUAGAUGAAUCCGGACCGGAUUAGCUAGUUGGUAAGGUAACGGCCUACCAAGGCAACGAUGCGUAGCCGACCUGAGAGGGUGAUCAGCCACACUGGAACUGAGACACGGUCCAGACUCCUACGGGAGGCAGCAGUAGGGAAUCUUGCACAAUGGGCGCAAGCCUGACCGAGCCAUACCGCGUGAGUGAUGAAGGCCUUCGGGUUGUAAAACUCUGUUAUUAGGAAAGAAAAACUGCGUAAGUAUCUACGCACGUUCUGACGGUACCCAAUCAGAAAGCCCCGGCUAACUACGUG
rnacentral:rRNA from 1 species